UGAAUAUUCAGUGAGUGGCUUUGCAUUAAGUAAGUGCCCUUAAUCAGCUUUUCAGUUCAGUUUUAUUGGUUGCAUGCACAGUCAGUUAUUUCAUCCAGAAAAUCUGAAAGCCCUACAAAUGAACCAGGGACAGCAUCACUAUGUAGUUCUGGGCAUCCUGGAACUCACUAUGUAGACAAGGCUAACCUCUCAAGCGCUAGGAUUAAAGCCCUUCCCUUCUCCCUUCCCUGUCUUACCACUCCUAGGCAUAUAUCCAAAAGAGGCUCAAGUACACAGUAAGGAUAUUUGCUCAACCGUGUUUGUAGCAGCUUUAUUUGUAAUAGCCAGAAGCUGGAAACAUCCCAGAUGCCCCUCAACUGAAGAAUGGAUGCAGAAAUUGUGGUACAUCUACACAUCUACUCAACAAUGAAAAAUAAGGAAAUCAUGAAAUUUGCAGGUAAAUGGUGGGACCUGGAAAGGAUCAUCCUGAGUGAGCUGUCCCAGAAGCAGAAAGACACACACGGUAUAUACUCACUCAUAUAGACAUAUAACAUAGGAUAAACCUACUAAAAUCUGUACAUCUAAAGAAACUAAUCAAGAGAGAGGACCCUGAUGAAAACUCUCAUUCCCCAUCCAGAAAGGCAAAGAGGAUGGACAUCAGAAGAAGAAAACAGGAAACAAGUUUGGAACCUGCCACAGAGGGCCUCUGAAAGGCUCUGCCCUGCAGAUUUGUUCCUGUUCUUUUCCCUGGGUUUUCCAUCUCCAGGAUUCCCUCAGGUUUUGUUUUCUUUCUUGCUUCUACUUUCAUUUCCAGGUUUUGAACAGCUUUAUUCAUUUCCUUUACCUGUUUGGUUGUAUUUUCCUGUAUUUCUUUAAGGGACUUAUUCUUUUUUUUCUUGAAAGGCUUCUAUCAUCUUUAUAAGAUUAGAAUUAAGGCAGGGAUCUGAGGUGUAAGGGUCUCAUAUGUUUGUCCUGGGUGGCAGUAGGCUUAGGGAUGCGGAACUGAGCUGUCAGCUGGGAAUGAGAGAAUGGGGUUGGGCUCACUGCUGUUGGGUUUGCCAGGAGGACAGAGCAGGCUGGGAAUUGUGGAAUUGUGGGCAGAAGGUCUUACAUGGUGGUCCCUGGUGGCCAAAGACCUCUUGAAAUGCAGGUAGGUUUGUGAUCUAAUUGAUUAAGCAUGUAGGAGACAUGCUCAACACUGCUGGGCUUUUCCAAAACAACCUAAAUUAGUGUCGGGGUGACAAUUGACGGUGAUUUAGGAAACUGUAUAUGUUGGUGAUGAGUGUAAAGAAGAGUCAUCAAAAGGCAAGAAAAAGUUUCAAGACAGUAAAUGUCUUCAUCGUCUAGACAAUGUUUUCACAGACAAAAUUUCAAAAUUUGUAUCACAAACUUGUUGUAUGUUGUUUUGUAACAGUUUCCUCUGAAAUUGAAACAGCCCAUCCUUCAGGGAAUUCCUUAAACAGGAAAGUAAACAACUCAAAAUAGAUUCAAGAAGUUACUAAAACUGACAAGAUUCUCUAGGCCUUUCUCUCCCCCGGAGUAAACCAUAAAAGCUGAGAGUCUCUCUCAGACAAAGCGAACCUGAGCUGCCAAAACUCAGACAAGGAAAUCAGCAAAGAUUCUUGAAGGUAUAAAGUCCUCCCUCUUUCUUCAGAGAAGAUGCUAAGAAUGGAGCAGCUGUGUGGAAGAUCCGAGAGCCACCCAAGAUUCUGGAAGACAUUUCAACUUAGGCACCUGGAAAAGAUUCUUCUAACCUUGUAGAUCUGCCUGCAGGCUGUUCAGUGUGCUCAGAUUCCCAGUUCUGUGAGCUGUAACCCAUGUUGUGACAGGAUUUGGUGCUAUGCAGUCUUUGAGUAAUUUCUGCUACUGUAAGUAAUCCAUUACCCAUAUUCACGUAAGUACCCCCAACAAAACUCAUUGGUUCACCAAGUUGGAUUUUUAUGCUAUUUGAACUUUGGUCUGUUGUGGACUGACUAUUGGGAGUGACUAGGUGUAUGUAUUGAGACCUCCCCAGGAAAGGUUUUGGCAUACAGAGUAUGCACACAUUAUUUUCUGUACUAAAUUUGUUCUAGAAUUAUUUUUAGUACAAUAACUAAAGAACUUGUUUGUAUCUUUUUAAACAAAAAAAGAUCGAGUCAGAAGAAUAAAUGCAAACCACACCAGUCAGAAGAAUGGGUGAGUAACCCACCUGCCAGCAGAACUAUCCCACUCUCUAGACUAAGUUUCCAAAACUCAUACAACACCCAUCACUCUCCACAUCCUUCACAUACAUCCUACCACCUCACUACCUGCCCCACUGCUGGACCCUUAACCCACAACUCUGGUGGACUUCCUCUGAUCAAGGUAUAGACCACACCAGUAAGAAGUACAGACUUCUGCUUCUCAGCAGGUACAGACCACACCAGUUAGAAGAACAGAGACCUCCUGCCACACCAGAGGCCAAGUUAGCUGCCAGAAGUACAGCCUCCUACUUGGACAGAGAGUACCUACUGGAUCAAAGCUCACACAGGCCACCAGAAGUCCAGAUCAUUAAGACUGGAAGAUGAAAAAGGAAACAGAAACCAAGGAAUAAAAUGCCCAUCUGACAAAGAUAAACUUAGAAAUCAUCACCUAGACUUAUAAUCAUCCCAAAUGCAUAUCUCUAAACAUGAGUGUAAGAACACAGUCAACAGCAGCCAAUGCAAUAUGGCAACAUCAGAGCCCAGCUAUCCUUUGUCAGCAAGACCUGAAUAUUCUCAUGCAGCUGAAGCACAAGAAAAGACAUUAAAACCAACUUUAUGUAGAUGACAGAAGUCUUUAAAGAUAAAAAAAAUUUAAGAAUAACUUAAAGAAACUGUGGAAAAGACAAAAAAAGGAGGAAAUCAAUAAAUCCCUUAAAGAACACACAAGAAAAAAACAAACAGAUGAAGGAAACUGUUAAAGAUUUGAAAAUAAAAAUAUAAGUAAUAAAGAAAGCAAAAACUGAGGAAAUAGUAGAAAUGGAAAAUCUUGGUAAGCAAACAGGAAGUACAGAUACAAGUAUCACCAAUAGAAUACAAGAGAUGGAAGAGAGAAUCUCAGGGGAUGAAAUUCAUUCUCCUACCAAUUUCUCCUCUCCAACUCCUUCCACUCGCUUCCUUCUCCUCCUCUCCAGAGCAGGAUAUCCCAUCCUACUCUCUCCAUGGCUCAGCAUUGGCUGGUUGUUUUAUUGAAAUUACAGAGAACAUGUGGUGGCAUGUUCACACAAACUUUAAACAGGUGAUGUUUAGAAUAAACAUCACAAUGCAAUGUCCAGAUUGAAACCAGAUAGUGGGGUAGAGAAAUCAGCAUUGAAUGAACAAGGGUAAAUUGUAUACAUUCCACAAGAACAUUGACAACAGUCGAUAGAACAAAAUGAUAGUCCCAAAUAUGGGAAAAGAUUUUCACCAAAUCCACAUCUGACAGAGGGUUAAUAUCCAAAAUAUACAAAGAACUCAAGAAACUAGACAUCAAGAAACUAAAUAAUCCAAUUAAAUAAUGGGGUACAGAUCUAAACAGAGGAAUUUUUUUCUUUAAAUUUUUUUUUCUUCACAAUUUAUUCAUUGUAUAUCUCAACUAAAAUUCACUACCUCAACUCCCUCAGUCUCACCCUCCUCCCUCUUCCCCUCAUUCCCUUCCCCUAGUCCACUGAAAGGGGGAGUUCUCCACUAUUGCCAUCUACCCAUAGCUUUCUAAGUCUCAUCAGGACUGCUUGCAUCCACUUCCUCUGUGGUCUGGCAAAGCUGCAUCAUCAAGGGAGAGUGAUCAGAGAACAGUCAACUUAGUCCAUGAUCACUGCUACUCUGAGUGCAAACUUGAGUUGACAGAGGGAAUUUUUAACAGAGGAAUCUCAAAUGGCCAAGAAACACUUAAAGAAAUCUUCAACAUCAUUAGCCUUCAGAGAGAUGCAAAUUAAAGACUAUGAGAUUCUAUCUUUUUUUUUGUUUGUUUUGUUUUUUCCCAGAUCAUAUAUUUUUUUAACUUUUAUUAAUUACACUUUAUUCAUUUUGUAUCCAUCCCAUAAGCCCUUCCCUCCUCCCCUCCCAGCUCAAACACACGCUACCCCGCAUUUGCCCUUCUGCGCCUGCGAACUUUCCUUCUACAGGUAUAGCUCUCCUCCCAUUUCUGCAUGCAUGCCCCUCCCCAAGUCCACUGAUAGGGGAGGUCCUCCUCUCCUACUUUCUUUUUUUUUCCAUAAUUUUAUUUUU